rnacentral:misc_RNA from 1 species
ACCGGUGCGUUGACACCUGCCCGUAGCUCCAUACGGACCUCUCAUAGUUCGUAGUUUCCACGAAUGCCGUACCGUUUCGUAUAAUCUUUCUGUGAACCAUCAGAUCGACCAACAACAACAAGCAUCGUGUUCACACGACGAAAAAAUAUAUAAUAAUAAUCGUGUCGUUAGACGAGUGUCGUUCGUCGAUCUACUACAUUGUGCAAAAAGUGUAUUUGUUUGUUGUCUGUUCGGCGGCCAGCGGCUCGAGGGAAUAUUACCGUCGACCAAGAACACAGCCUACGCAUGCCGUGGAUCGAGGUAACAGUAGAGUGCCGGAAGAAGAGAGCCGGUUCGAAAAGAGCCGGUCUCCAAUAAGCUUCCAGUUAGGUAGGCCACGAACUCUUGUUUUUCGUCGUGAGAAGCUGUUGGUGGGCUCAUCGGGCCCACCCUCUCAUCGGUCAAGCUGGCGAGCGCUCUAACCGCUGGU